CACAAUGCUUCAGGCGACUCGGAAUGUUAUGGAGGUCAAAAUAAAGGAGAUGGAUGAGUUGAAAAGAAGAGACAGAUUAGGAGUGGAGAGAGGGAGAUGAAAAGAAGAGCCGUAUUAGGAGUGGAGAUUAAAUUAGUUACCCACAUCACCAGUCUUCACCUCUACCACCGUAUCUCUCUAAGCCCCAGAAGUAGAGGGUCACAUGGGCAGGAAGUCGUCCACCUCCAGGUUGCACACAUACCAGAAGAUAAGGCUGAGAAAGAUGAUGAUGGGUCCAGAGAAGACCAAGAGGUCCCAGAAGAUGAAGAAAGCAAAAAUGCCCAGGAAGAGGCCUGUAGCGUCCAGGAAGAUGAAGAGAAGGCAGCGACCCAGCUGAGUGUCGGUACAGGUGCCGAGUGUCGGUACAGGUGCUGAUUGUCGGUACAGGUAAUCUACCCUACACUACAGUGCAUCGGACUGAAUUACGAGGAAGCAAGGAAGAGGAUGCGUUUUAAAGACCCUGGUACAUUCCAAUGAGCUGGAGCUAUCAAACAUCACAUAGUUCCUAUAGCAGGACUGCUGCCAAGGGGAGAUGUGUUUAUGUCUCACUAAUGAUGACAAGACGAGGUAACAAGCCAGUUUCUGGAAUGGAGAUGUAGUCCUUGUGCCGGGCCCGGAGAUUGCUUCAGCGCGGGGCCUCUCCCUGAAUGAAAGUCGUCUUCUAUAUUUAAAGUGUCUUUAGUUCAUAUAGGCAAAAAGGUUUACAGUCUGUAUGGAUUUAAAAAGCAGCACUUGGGGAGGAGCGGGGCAUACUUUCUUCAAAACCGGAGAACCAGAGAUCACCUGCAACAGAGGAAAAGAGCAAGUGAGAAUGAGAACACCAAGAAGACAAAAACAUCUGAAAGAAAAUAAUGGUUUUAGUCACCUUUAUUUCCUAGCACUGUGUUAUUUCGCAACGUCCCUUCUGGGACAAUAAAGAUUUAUUGAUUCAAAUGUUUCAGUCACCAUGUUAUAUCACAUGGACAGAUGAGAGAUGGUAGGAG
rnacentral:lncRNA from 1 species